UACGUAGGAGGCGAACGUUAUUCGGAUUUACUGGGCGUAAAGGGAGCGUAGGCGGUUCUUUAAGUCAGAUGUGAAAUCUUCUGGCUCAAUCAGAAGGUGUCAUUUGAUACUGAGGGACUUGAGAGCAGCAGAGGGAAAUGGAAUCCCCGGUGUAGCGGUGAAAUGCGUAGAUAUCGGGGAGAACACCAGUGGCGAAGGCGAUUUCCCAGGUUGUUUCUGACGCUGAGGCUCGAAAGCGUGGGGAGCGAAGCGGAUUAGAUACCCGCGUA
rnacentral:rRNA from 1 species